GACGAACGCUGGCGGCGUGCCUAAUACAUGCAAGUAGAACGCUGAAGGAGGAGCUUGCUUCUCUGGAUGAGUUGCGAACGGGUGAGUAACGCGUAGGUAACCUGCCUGGUAGCGGGGGAUAACUAUUGGAAACGAUAGCUAAUACCGCAUAACAGUAGAUAUCGCAUGAUAUCUACUUGAAAGGUGCAAUUGCAUCACUACCAGAUGGACCUGCGUUGUAUUGGCUAGUUGGUGAGGUAACGGCUCACCAAGGCGACGAUACAUAGCCGACCUGAGAGGGUGAUCGGCCACACUGGGACUGAGACACGGCCCAGACUCCUACGGGAGGCAGCAGUAGGGAAUCUUCGGCAAUGGACGGAAGUCUGACCGAGCAACGCCGCGUGAGUGAAGAAGGUUGUCGGAUCGUAAAGCUCUGUUGUAAGAGAAGAACGAGUGUGAGAGUGGAAAGUUCACACUGUGACGGUAUCUUACCAGAAAGGGACGGCUAACUACGUG
rnacentral:rRNA from 1 species